GUUUUAUUAACUCAAUGUAUAUAUUUUUUACAUUGUUUGCAAACUGAUGUGACAUGUAUUAAUGCCAAAAUAACAUGGAAAACAGGCAAGCCCCCCUGCCAUUAACCCUUACCUAACCCAUUUAAAUUUUCAACUUCAAUGGGGUAGGAUACGGGAGAGACAAAAUGCAUGUUACGUGCCUGAAGACCCUGAGCUGUCUACGGACAGUGAACUUGAAAUUGAUCCUGACUAAAGUGAGAAAAAACCUGGGUCGUCAGGUGGUGUGACGGUUUCUGAGCCUCACUCCAAUGAUCAGGAAGACUCUGGCCCAAUGGGAGUAUCCAUACCUUUGGUCGAUCUGUUUGUGGUUUUGAGUCUCGGGCUGAAAGUGGUGUCCUGCUUACAGAGGUAAAAUUAGUUUUAUAUUGGGUAUUCGGUUUCCUCAUCAAUAGCUAUUGAACCAAGCAUAACAUGACUAUGAAGAUGGUAUAUUCCUAAUCGCGUGGAUGUUGAAAGGUCCAAGGUCAAUUAACUACUUGACAAUAUUUCUACCCAAGUAAUUACACAAAAACAAAUACAUCCCCUCCAACAACGCUGUAGUAACAACACUUCACAAUUUUACACACAUGUACCAGCAUACAAUCCAUUCUCCAACUAAAUAUUCACAAUGGUUGCUAGUUAUAUUACACAGUACUAGGAUUAGUCCAUCCAUAAAAAUGAGAAAUUAAACUGAAGGUGCAAACCGGACUAUGACUUCACUCUUUCCCGAGUGUGUUAGUAUUACAGUAUGAAUAUCCUUGUCAAUUGUCAUGGGGCAUUCUAUCUUGGUCUCCUAAGCCAGGUAUGUAGAUGUCUUAAUGCACUGAAAGAUCUCUCACAGCUGCUAACGGAUGGUCAGCACAGUCUGUAUGAUUGCCUUCAGUGAUGGGAAAAUAUCAGUGUCUAACAAUUUAUACACACAGGACAUGUCAGAAGUGGCAUAUUUAUGUUUAGCAAGGACUAGUUCCUCUGCCUUGAGAUUAAUAUGCCAUGUUUGUCUUGUGUGGGCCUGCCCUCUCGAGAUGUUCUCCUGUCUUCUCCCCUCUCUUCCUUGCUGUCUGACGUUCUGCUGUCUUGGAUUUCCUAUAUUAUUACAGAGAAGGCAUAGUAUCAGUGCCGUAGCAAUAUGGACUAUCCUGAACAGAC
ensembl:lncRNA